AGGACGAACGCUGGCGGCGUGCUUAACACAUGCAAGUCGAGCGGAAAGGCCCUUCGAGGUACUCGAGCGGCGAACGGGUGAGUAACACGUGAGCAAUCUGCCCUUAGCUUCGGGAUAGCUCCGGGAAACCGGAAUUAAUACCGGGUAUGACUAUGGCUGACAUCGGCCACGGUGGAAAGUUUUUCGGCUAGGGAUGAGCUCGCGGCCUAUCAGCUAGUUGGUGGGGUAACGGCCUACCAAGGCGACGACGGGUA
rnacentral:rRNA from 1 species